CACAGAGGUCUCAAGCGUUGUUCGGAUUCAUUGGGCGUAAAGGGUGCGUAGGCGGCGCGGUAAGUCGGGUGUGAAAUCUCGGAGCUUAACUCCGAAACUGCAUUCGAUACUGCCGUGCUUGAGGACUGGAGAGGAGACUGGAAUUUACGGUGUAGCGGUGAAAUGCGUAGAUAUCGUAAGGAAGACCAGUGGCGAAGGCGGGUCUCUGGACAGUAACUGACGCUGAGGAGCGAAAGCGUGGGGAGCGAACAGG
rnacentral:rRNA from 1 species